rnacentral:rRNA from 1 species
CAGGCCUAACACAUGCAAGUCGAACGGUAGUAGCAAUACUAUAGUGGCAAACGGGUGCGUAACGCGUAAGCAACCUGCCCUCAACUGGGGGAUAGCCCGGCGAAAGCUGGGGUAAACCCGCACGGUCCCAAGAGAUCACCUGGUUUAUUGGGUAAACAUUCAUGGGUUGAGGAGGGGCUUGCGUCUGAUUAGCUAGUUGGCAGGGUAACGGCCUACCAAGGCGAUGAUCAGUAGGGGUUCUGAGAGGAUUGGCCCCCACAUGGGUACUGAGAUACGGACCCAACUCCUACGGGAGGCAGCAGUAGGGAAUAUUGGGCAAUGGAGGCAACUCUGACCCAGCCAUGCCGCGUGCCGGAUGAAGGCGCUCAGCGUUGUAAACGGCUUUUACUCAUGAAGAACGGUGGGGAUGCGUCCUUACUUAACGGUAUGGAGGGAAUAAGCACCGUCUAUCAUGGUG